CAAACGGUUCAUCCAAAUCUCUUCGAAAAAAUUACAUUAUAUAUUCAAAAUUAAGGUGAUGUACAUUAUUUUUAAAGAUUUAAUGAAGCAAAUCAUGAGCUAAUCUAAUUUCAGGAUCGUGAGAAGAAAUUCAAAGCUGAUACUGGUGGUGCUGGUGCUGGUGCAGAGCAAUCGUCUGGUUUGUUUACCGCAGAUACGUUCUUUACUGUAGUGGAUACAGUGGGUGUUGUUGUUGCUGCAGUUGGUGCAGUAGGUACUAUCUGCGCUGGAGUUGGUGCAUUGGGUACUGCCGUUGGUGCAGUUAGUACUGUGAAUGCAACCAGGAUGAUUGUAGGUAGUGCAAUAACUGUCUUUGUGGGCUGGAAAAUUUGGCAACGCAAGUAAUUUAUCUGGUUGAUUUCUCGUAUAAUCACUUAAAUAAUAAUAGUUGAAUUGUUAGUUUAGUUUAAAGUUUGUCUUGAGAUGUAUGAUGUAUAGUUGAAGUUCUACCCAAACUUUCCUUAUGUUUUGUAAUAUUUUGAUUUUCCUUUCGAGGUGUGUAUGGUAUGGAGGUACAUCUUUUGGUAAAUGAUCAAUUAUACUAAAUCAAACUUCCAUUUACAUGUAUUCACACAAACAUAGGUAAGAAGUGUAAAUAAUAAUGCAAUUGUGUUGAUGUUGUCAUUGAAAUCAAGAGAAAAUUAUC